UUGUUUGAAUAUACAUUACGCUACACGGCACAUCUAUUCAUUCAAACAAAAUCUACACCAAAUAAGAACUAUUCGCUGUAUUUUAUAAAAGCAGAUCAUUACGAUGAAUAGAGUAAUAUCUUUGGUUGUAUGUCUGGUGAUGAUGACGUCACUUGGUAAUGGGUCAAAUUGCAAUUCGAGGGCGUUUCAUGGAAGCUAUCUGGAUGUGAAUGCUGUUUUAUCUGCUGUUGAUGUAAAUAACGAUGGUAAAAUAACCCUGACUGAAGACAGAAACAGUGUCCUGCUCGGCGAUUCAUCCAAGGAUGGUAAAACAUCGAGAGCAGAAUUUGUCAACAGAUUGGUCCAUGUUUUCUGUUAUCCAAAGAUGUUGGCCAGUUAUGGUUUCGAUAUGCUGGACAGGAAUAACGAUCGCUUCCUCACAGGCGACGAUGUAAUAGCAUCACGAUUUGGUGCAUCUGGGGAGCUCGAUCGUUCAGUUUUGGCAGUGGGUUUACGACGUCUGGAUACUCGUGCAAGAGAAUUAGACAGAAAAUAUAAGACAUUAUUUGCGAUGGUGCAACAAAGAUAUGACGGACCAGGCAGUUGGUGAUUAUCCGGUCAAUGUUUAUUUAAUUGAUUUAACAGAUAAAU